AGAGUUUGAUCCUGGCUCAGGACGAACGCUGGCGGCGUGCUUAACACAUGCAAGUCGAACGGAAAGGCCCCUUUGGGGGUACUCGAGUGGCGAACGGGUGAGUAACACGUGAGUAACCUGCCCUUGACUUCGGGAUAACUUCAGGAAACUGGGGCUAAUACCGGAUAGGAAUCCUUGCUGCAUGGUGGGGGUUGGAAAGCUUCGGCGGUUUUGGAUGGACUCGCGGCUUAUCAGCUUGUUGGUGGGGUAGUGGCUUACCAAGGCUUUGACGGGUAGCCGGCCUGAGAGGGCGACCGGCCACAUUGGGACUGAGAUACGGCCCAGACUCCUACGGGAGGCAGCAGUGGGGAAUAUUGCACAAUGGGCGGAAGCCUGAUGCAGCAACGCCGCGUGCGGGAUGACGGCCUUCGGGUUGUAAACCGCUUUCAGCAGGGGCGAAGCUUGUGGUGACGGUACCUGCAGAAGAAGCACCGGCUAACUACGUGCCAGCAGCCGCGGUGAUACGUAGGGUGCGAGCGUUGUCCGGAUUUAUUGGGCGUAAAGAGCUCGUAGGUGGUUGAUUGCGUCGGAAGUGAAAACUUGGGGCUUAACCCUGAGCGUGCUUUCGAUACGGGUUGACUUGAGGAAGGUAGGGGAGAAUGGAAUUCCUGGUGGAGCGGUGGAAUGCGCAGAUAUCAGGAGGAACACCAGUGGCGAAGGCGGUUCUCUGGACCUUUCCUGACGCUGAGGAGCGAAAGCGUGGGGAGCGAACAGGCUUAGAUACCCUGGUAGUCCACGCUGUAAACGGUGGGUACUAGGUGUGGGGUCCAUUCCACGGAUUCCGUGCCGUAGCUAACGCAUUAAGUACCCCGCCUGGGGAGUACGGCCGCAAGGCUAAAACUCAAAGGAAUUGACGGGGCCCCGCACAAGCGGCGGAGCAUGCGGAUUAAUUCGAUGCAACGCGAAGAACCUUACCUGGGUUUGACAUGGACUGGGAGUGCUCAGAGAUGGGUAUGCCUCCUUGUGGGGCUGGUUCACAGGUGGUGCAUGGCUGUCGUCAGCUCGUGUCGUGAGAUGUUGGGUUAAGUCCCGCAACGAGCGCAACCCU
rnacentral:rRNA from 1 species